rnacentral:rRNA from 1 species
GACGAACGCUGGCGGCGUGCCUAAUACAUGCAAGUAGAACGCUGAAGGAGGAGCUUGCUUCUCCGGAUGAGUUGCGAACGGGUGAGUAACGCGUAGGUAACCUGCCUGGUAGCGGGGGAUAACUAUUGGAAACGAUAGCUAAUACCGCAUAAGAGUAGAUGUUGCAUGACAUUUGCUUAAAAGGUGCAAUUGCAUCACUACCAGAUGGACCUGCGUUGUAUUAGCUAGUUGGUGGGGUAACGGCUCACCAAGGCGACGAUACAUAGCCGACCUGAGAGGGUGAUCGGCCACACUGGGACUGAGACACGGCCCAGACUCCUACGGGAGGCAGCAGUAGGGAAUCUUCGGCAAUGGACGGAAGUCUGACCGAGCAACGCCGCGUGAGUGAAGAAGGUUUUCGGAUCGUAAAGCUCUGUUGUAAGAGAAGAACGAGUGUGAGAGUGGAAAGUCACACUGUGACG